rnacentral:rRNA from 1 species
AUUGAACGCUUGCUUCAUGCCUUACACAUGCAAGUCGAACGGCAGCACGGGUGCUUGCACCUGGUGGCGAGUGGCGAACGGGUGAGUAAUACAUCGGAACAUGUCCUGUAGUGGGGGAUAGCCCGGCGAAAGCCGGAUUAAUACCGCAUACGAUCUACGGCUGAAAGCGGGGGACCUUCGGGCCUCGCGCUAUAGGGUUGGCCGAUGGCUGAUUAGCUAGUUGGUGGGGUAAAGGCCUACCAAGGCGACGAUCAGUAGCUGGUCUGAGAGGACGACCAGCCACACUGGGACUGAGACACGGCCCAGACUCCGACGGGAGGCAGCAGUGGGGAAUUUUGGACAAUGGGAGAAAGCCUGAUCCAGCAAUGCCGCGGGUGUGAAGAAGGCCUUCGGGUUGUAAAGCACUUUUGUCCGGAAAGAAAUCCUUGGCCCUAAGACGGUCGGGGGAGGACGGGACCGGAAGAAUAAGCACCGGCGAACUACGU